rnacentral:rRNA from 1 species
CCUGACUGCUAUCGGAUUGAUACUAAGCCAUGCGAGUCAUUGUAGCAAUACAAGGCAGACGGCUCAGUAACGCGUAGUCAACCUAACCUAUGGACGGGAAUAACCUCGGGAAACUGAGAAUAAUGCCCGAUAGAACACUAUGCCUGGAAUGGUUUGUGUUCCAAAUGAUUUAUCGCCGUAGGAUGGGACUGCGGCCUAUCAGUUUGUUGGUGAGGUAAUGGCCCACCAAGACUAUUACAGGUACGGGCUCUGAGAGGAGUGGCCCGGAGAUGGGUACUGAGACACGGACCCAGGCCCUAUGGGGCGCAGCAGGCGAGAAAACUUUGCAAUGUGCGAAAGCACGACAAGGUUAAUCCGAGUGGUUUCUGCUAAAGGAACCUUUUGUCGGUCCUAGAAACACCGAUGAAUAAGGGGUGGGCAAGUUCUGGUGUCAGCCGCCGCGGUAAAACCAGCACCUCAAGUGGUCAGGAUGAUUAUUGGGCCUAAAGCAUCCGUAGCCUGCUUUGUUAGUUUUCGGUUAAAUCUGUACGCUCAACGUACAGGCUGCCGAGAAUACUGCAAAGCUAGGGAGUGGGAGAGGUAGACGGUACUCGGUAGGAAGGGGUAAAAUCCUUUGAUCUAUUGAUGACCACCUGUGGCGAAGGCGGUCUACCAGAACACGUCCGACGGUGAGGGAUGAAAGCUGGGGGAGCAAACCGGAUUAGAUACCCGGGUAGUCCCAGCUGUAAACCAUGCAAACUCAGUGAUGCAUUGGCUUGUGGCCAAUGCAGUGCUGCAGGGAAGCCGUUAAGUUUGCCGCCUGGGAAGUACGUACGCAAGUAUGAAACUUAAAGGAAUUGGCGGGGGAGCACCACAAGGGGUGAAGCCUGCGGUUC